GUAGGUGGCAAGCGUUGUCCGGAAUUAUUGGGCGUAAAGCGCGCGCAGGUGGUUCUUUAAGUCUGAUGUGAAAGCCCCCGGCUCAACCGGGGAGGGUCAUUGGAAACUGGGGAACUUGAGUGCAGGAGAGGAAAGUGGAAUUCCACGUGUAGCGGUGAAAUGCGUAGAUAUGUGGAGGAACACCAGUGGCGAAGGCGACUUUCUGGCCUGUAACUGACACUGAGGCGCGAAAGCGUGGGGAGCAAACAGGAUUAGAUACCAUGGUAGUCCACGCCGUAAACGAUGAGUGCUAAGUGUUGGGGGGGUUUCCCGCCCCUCAGUGCUGCAGCUAACGCAUUAAGCACUCCGCCUGGGGAGUACGGUCGCAAGACUG
rnacentral:rRNA from 1 species